rnacentral:SRP_RNA from 1 species
GUUGUGGGCCCUGUAAUCCAAGUGUCUGGGAGGCUGGUGUCUGUGGAUGGUUUGAGGUCAGGGGUUCUGGUGCAUAUUGUGGCAUGUUGAACUGGCGUCCGAACUAAGCCCGGCGUCAAUAUGGCCACCUCCGGGGAGCCGGAGGUGGCCAGGUUGCCUGAGGAGGUGCGAAUCGGGCCAGAGGGAAACCCAGCAGCUCAAAGUACCCGCGGCGGGCAGUAGAUGAUCUGUGUCAGAGUUCCUUUUCCGACAGGGAGCAAGAGGAAAGGUAGGCAAGUGAAAAACCAGCACGACU